rnacentral:rRNA from 1 species
UACAGAGGGGGCAAGCGUUGUUCGGAAUUACUGGGCGUAAAGGGCUCGUAGGUGGCCAACUAAGUCAUACGUGAAAUCCCUCGGCUUAACCGGGGAACUGCGUCUGAUACUGGAUGGCUUGAGUUUGGGAGAGGGACGCGGAAUUCCAGGUGUAGCGGUGAAAUGCGUAGAUAUCUGGAGGAACACCGGUGGCGAAGGCGGCGUCCUGGACCAACACUGACACUGAGGAGCGAAAGCCAGGGGAGCAAACAGG